rnacentral:rRNA from 1 species
AACGAACGCUGGCGGCAUGCCUAACACAUGCAAGUCGAACGAGACCUUCGGGUCUAGUGGCGCACGGGUGCGUAACGCGUGGGAACCUGCCCUUAGGUUCGGAAUAACUCCCCGAAAGGGGUGCUAAUACCGGAUAAUGUCUUCGGACCAAAGAUUUAUCGCCUUUGGAUGGGCCCGCGUUGGAUUAGCUAGUUGGUAGGGUAAAAGCCUACCAAGGCGACGAUCCAUAGCUGGUCUGAGAGGAUGAUCAGCCACACUGGGACUGAGACACGGCCCAGACUCCUACGGGAGGCAGCAGUGGGGAAUAUUGGAAAAUGGGCGAAAGGCUGAUCCAGCAAUGCCGCGUGAGUGAUGAAGGCCUUAGGGUUGUAAAGCUCUUUUACCCGGGAUGAUAAUGACAGUACCGGGAGAAUAAGCACCGGCUAACUCCGUG